rnacentral:tRNA from 1 species
GCCCCUGUAGUCUAGCUGGACAGGACGCAAGAUUGCGGAUCUUGAAACCCGGGUUCAAAUCCCGGCAGGGGCA